AUAUUCUAAUUCCACUAAUAUAUCAAAACCCUUACCCAAUACUGAAUGAUUCUAUAAUAUAUAUAGAAAACUAUAUGCUAAAACUAGUAAUAAGAAGAAGACCUUCUCCAAAAUAUAAGUGUGAGCCGAAAUGAACAACUCACCGGCACUUAACGCAAAUGAACCAACAGUAGCAACCUUACAAGAAAACCCUACCUCAACAUGCGUCAACCUUACACUAGUAUAUUUCUGGAAAGAUUAAAAGAAAAGGAAGGAACUCGGCAAACUACUAACCCCGCCUGUUUACCAAAAACAUCGCCUCUUGAAAAAAUAUAAGAGGUCCAGCCUGCCCAGUGACAAAGUUAAACGGCCGCGGUACCCUAACCGUGCGAAGGUAGCGCAAUCACUUGUUCUUUAAAUGAGGACUAGUAUGAAUGGCAUCACGAGGGUUAUACUGUCUCCCUUUUCCAAUCAAUGAAACUGACCUCCCCGUGAAGAGGCGGGGAUAAUACUAUAAGACGAGAAGACCCCAUGGAGCUUAAAACUCAGCACCAAUUACCCGAUUACACUUCAUGUUAACUUGGUAAUUAUGGUUUCUAGUUUUCGGUUGGGGUGACCGCGGAGUAAAACACAACCUCCACGAUGAAUGGACCAACGCUCCUAAUCAUAGAGCCACAGCUCAAAGAAUCAAAAAAUUGACAUAAAUUGAUCCAAUUAGUUUUGAUCAACGAACUAAGUUACCCUGGGGAUAACAGCGCAAUCCACUUCAAGAGCCCCUAUCGACAAGUGGGUUUACGACCUCGAUGUUGGAUCAGGGUAUCCUAGUGGUGCAGCCGCUACUAAAGGUUCGUUUG
rnacentral:rRNA from 1 species